GAUGAAGAACGCAGCGAAAUGCGAUACUUGGUGUGAAUUGCAGAAUCCCGUGAACCAUCGAGUCUUUGAACGCAAGUUGCGCCCGAAGCCAUUAGGCCGAGGGCACGCCUGCCUGGGCGUCACACGUCGUUGCCCCCCCAUCUACUCCUUCGGGAUUGCGGGGGGGCGGAUGAUGGCCUCCUGUGCGCCUAGCCGCGCGGUUGGCAUAAAUACCAAGUCCUCGGCGACGCACGCCACGACAAUCGGUGGUUGCGAAACCUCGGUUGCCCGUCGUGUGCGUUCGUCGCGCAUCGAGGGCUCGAAAAAAUGCUCGGCUCCGGCUGGGCUUUCAACGCGACCCCAGGUCAGGCGGGGUUACCCGCUGAAUUUAAGCAUAUCAAUAAGCGGAGGA
rnacentral:misc_RNA from 1 species